GGGCAGCGUGGUGGACGGUGGUGGUGGUCACAGCUGGGGCGGCGUGGGCAACAGUGGCGACUGGAGCAGCGGCGUAGGUGGCGACUGGGGCGGCGUGGGCAACAGUGGUCACAGCUGGGGCAGCAGCGUAGGUGGCGACUGGGGCGGCGUGGGCAACAGUGGUAGCCACAGCUGGGGCAGCAGCGUAGGUGGCGACUGGGGCAGCGUG